GAUGAACGCUGGCGGCGUGCUUAACACAUGCAAGUCGAACGAGAAAUGUAGACGGAAACCUUCGGGCGGAAGCCUUCAUUUCGAGUGGCGGACGGGUGAGUAACGCGUGGGUAACCUGCCUCAUACAGGGGGAUAACAGUUGGAAACGACUGUUAAUACCGCAUAAGACCACAGCAUCGCAUGAUGCGGGGGUAAAAACUCCGGUUGUAUGAGAUGGACCCGCGUUCGAUUAGCCAGUUGGCGGGGUAACGGCCCACCAAAGCGACGAUCGAUAGCCGAUCUGAGAGGAUGACCGGCCACAUUGGGACUGAGACACGGCCCAAACUCCUACGGGAGGCAGCAGUGGGGAAUAUUGCACAAUGGGGGAAACCCUGAUGCAGCGACGCCGCGUGAGUGAAGAAGUACUUCGGUAUGUAAAGCUCUAUCAGCAGGGAAGAAAAUGACGGUACCUGAGUAAGAAGCCCCGGCUAACUACGUG
rnacentral:rRNA from 1 species